rnacentral:misc_RNA from 1 species
ACAUUUCAGUGAUGAAGUUGAACGUCUUUUGAUGAACAUCAAUCCAAGAGGUGUAGAAUUGGAUGAUAGAGUCAUGGUUGAGGGUGCUGAGAAGGUGAACCUCUGAGUAUAGCCUCUGCAAGUCCUCAGGUGAGCCAAGCACCACAUUGAGUUUUACCUGGUUCCACGCCACCUCCAUUCCGAGGACUUCAUCAAUUGCCUUAUAGACUGUUUUCAUUGCCCCUUUCCCAAGAACUUCUUCAAACCGACCAUACCGGCCAGUAGGAUCGGUUUCAACAUAGCCAUGGUCGGCGUCGGUUUCAUGCAACCCAACUUUCUUUUUGUACAUGUUUUUGAGGGGUAUAUAUGGGAAAGCCUGCAGCUUCUCCUAGGAGUUGGCCGAAAAGCUUUAUUUUGGAAAAAAAUCUUGCGAAUUUUCGAACUCUACUUUUUAUAUAUGCUGGCUGAUGGGUAUAAAUUGGAAAACAAAAAGAGAAAAUAUUUGUGUGUAUUAUAUAUGGGUUAAAAGAGAUGGAGAGCUCUAAAUCCGAGGCUUUCCUUCAUGAUUUUCAUAAGAGAAGACACCAAAGAGAAGCCAGAAGAGUCUUGAGUAAUCAAUCCUUAGCAUGAUCCAUGCCAUUUCCACAACCGCACGUGAGAAGUCGUAGUUUUUGGCAACCAUUUGGAGCGAAAACCAAAACCCAAAAGUUUUUUUUUUUUUUUUUAAAGAAAGAAAUAAACUUGGAAUUGACAAGUGAAUACGAUUUUGGUGGAGGAAAAGGCCAAUAUGUCUUUCUUAAAAGAGUGAAAUAUCUCUCUCUUUAAUAACUUAAGGAAUUUUCUUGAGGGUGGUAAGCAAAUUCUUUGGGGAAGCAAGGAUAAUAUAGGCAAAAUCAAUCAAGAAUUUAAAUUGUUACCAUGCAAGAUAGGGAUAUGCAUGAGAUGGAAAUAUCACUGAUGGAAUUCUGAACUUGAAGAAUCUGUGGCCACGCUUUGCCGGAACCAUUUGUUGAUGAUAGAGAUACAACCCCAAAACAAAGAGGAAUUAAGGAUGGGUUGGGAUCUUAAUUUGGUGGUGUAUCUUUACAGAAAUGAACGAGAAGAAAAAGUUUCAGAUAACAAAAACUUGCAAACCAAAUCUGCAAGAUGGUUUUGAUAUGUAUAUGUUGUUGGUAGGUAGCUAAGCUAUAAACGGCAAGGACGGGAACAGGGCAGACGCUAAAACAGAUGUAGAGGGGGGCAAGAUUUAAAUAUUAACUUAUCUCUG